UAGCCACGCGUGAAACCCAACAAUAAUUGGCACGAAAAAUCGGCGUUUUUGUCGUUGAACCCUUGAACCUCCCCUCCGUGUACACGUGUCUGGUUCAUAUACUACUAUAAUGCGCGCACAUUGUGCAGACGUUGAAACUCGAUAUUAUUUUUUUACGAGUACGAUAGAAGUGUAUCGUUUUUACGAACGGCGUUAUAAUUAUUAUUAAACGACCAAAAUUGGAAAAUCUUAAUUCGAUCACCAUUCAUCUACUAGGGCCACCAAAACCUAAAUUUUAUUUAAAUGCCAUUGAACGCUACUCUACAGUGUCUG